ensembl:misc_RNA Metazoa_SRP Metazoan signal recognition particle RNA
GCUGGGUGUGGUGGCUCACACCUGUAAUCCCAGCACUUUGGGAGGCUGAGGUGGGUGGAUCACCUGAGGUCAGGAGUUCGAGACUAGCCUGGCCAACAUGGUGAAACCCCCUCUCUA